GAUGAACGCUGGCGGCGUGCCUAAUACAUGCAAGUCGAGCGAACGGACGAGGAGCUUGCUCCUCUGACGUUAGCGGCGGACGGGUGAGUAACACGUGGAUAACCUACCUAUAAGACUGGGAUAACUUCGGGAAACCGGAGCUAAUACCGGAUAAUAUAUUGAGCCGCAUGGUUCAAUAGUGAAAGACGGUUUUGCUGUCACUUAUAGAUGGAUCCGCGCCGCAUUAGCUAGUUGGUAAGGUAACGGCUUACCAAGGCAACGAUGCGUAGCCGACCUGAGAGGGUGAUCGGCCACACUGGAACUGAGACACGGUCCAGACUCCUACGGGAGGCAGCAGUAGGGAAUCUUCCGCAAUGGGCGAAAGCCUGACGGAGCAACGCCGCGUGAGUGAUGAAGGUCUUCGGAUCGUAAAACUCUGUUAUUAGGGAAGAACAAAUGUGUAAGUAACUAUGCACGUCUUGACGGUACCUAAUCAGAAAGCCACGGCUAACUACGUG
rnacentral:rRNA from 1 species